UACGUAGGUGGCAAGCGUUGUCCGGAAUUACUGGGUGUAAAGGGAGCGCAGGCGGGAAGCCAAGUCAGCUGCGAAAACUACGGGCUUAACUUGUAGACUGCAGUUGAAACUGGUUUUCUUGAGUGAAGUAGAGGUUGGCGGAAUUCCGAGUGUAGCGGUGAAAUGCGUAGAUAUUCGGAGGAACACCGGUGGCGAAGGCGGCCAACUGGGCUUUAACUGACGCUGAGGCUCGAAAGUGUGGGGAGCAAACAGG
rnacentral:rRNA from 1 species